rnacentral:rRNA from 1 species
UCAUAUGCUUGUCUCAAAGAUUAAGCCAUGCAUGUCUAAGUUCACACUGUCUCACGGUGAAACCGCGAAUGGCUCAUUAAAUCAGUCGAGGUUCCUUAGAUGACACGAUCCUACUUGGAUAACUGUGGCAAUUCUAGAGCUAAUACAUGCUUAUCAAGCUCCGACCCUCGUGGAAAGAGCGCUUUUAUUAGUUCAAAACCAAUCGUCGUUCCGUUUCGGCGGGCGGCGUCCCCCAUUGGUGACUCUGGAUAACUUUGUGCUGAUCGCAUGGCCUUUGCGCUGGCGACGCAUCUUUCAAAUGUCUGCCCUAUCAAAUGUCGAUGGUACGUGAUAUGCCUACCAUGUUUGUAACGGGUAACGGGGAAUCAGGGUUCGAUUCCGGAGAAACGGCUACCACGUCCAAGGAAGGCAGCAGGCGCGCAACUUACCCACUCCCGGCACGGGGAGGUAGUGACGAAAAAUAACAAUACGGGACUCUUUCGAGGCCCCGUAAUUGGAAUGAGUACACUUUAAACCCUUUAACGAGGAUCUAUUGGAGGGCAAGUCUGGUGCCAGCAGCCGCGGUAAUUCCAG